ensembl:miRNA microRNA 23b
UCUGGCUGCUUGGGUUCCUGGCAUGCUGAUUUGUGACUUAAGAUUAAAAUCACAUUGCCAGGGAUUACCACGCAACCAUGAC